GGUUAUAGCUUUAAGGUGAUAACAAGCUUGCCUCCUGACGCUGGUGAUGACUUGAGUUAUUACUAUCGUGAAGAGCAGUUGGCUCUUCUAGGAAAGGUCUUGACUGCCGGUGACGACGCAGUUGGUUUGGAGCAGUUAUAAGAAGACAGAGAUGAUAAUAGCCAUUCAUAAAGCUCGUCGCUCUGUGGGAUCCAUGAGUACAAUGUCGGGGGCAAAUGGAAUGGUCUACAUGGAAUACAGCACUGGAAAACAUAAGCUUGGGCAUGGCCAGAAGAGUAAGCCAAAGGACCCGUCCAAGAGGUAUCAUCUGUUUAAGAAACGCUUUGGUUGAGUUGAAAACCAAACCAUACAGUCAUGCUGUGGUCG